AUUGAAUGUAUUUCUGCUUCCAAACUCGCUUAUUUUGGUUUGGUGAUGCAGAGGACUUUUGAGUACUCUAAUUUUCAUGAGAUCAAAUCAAAGAAAGCAAUUACUGGGGAAGAUACAGGAAAGAUAAGGAAGAAGACACUGUUUUAGCUAAUGGAACCUCUCCUUUGAGUUUAGAAAACGAACCUUGCAUAAACUAGUUACAUUUGUCUCCUUCCUUCAACCAUAUAGGUUCCUAGAUCCAUUUUUUUUUUUAAUUGUGAAAACAUUUGUUUUCUUUUUUCCUGCCUACUGGUGGCUGUCUUGCAAUCUUUCAAUAGAAGGAGUCCGAUUACUAAUUAAGACACAGCUGUUGGAUCAUCUGGGGACUUUAUCUUCACAUUUUUUUUUUCUCUGAGUCCCUGGAUCGUCACUUGCUGACUUCCCAAGUUUAAUUCCUUCAAUGCUUG
rnacentral:lncRNA from 1 species